ensembl:lncRNA
AUUGUCUCCACUUCCUACUAUUACAGAACAGAGAAAAAGGGAAAAGCUGUAUUAAGCCAAUUAGCCCUCUCUCUGUCAAUGAGCAACAUCAACAGGAAAAUCAUGCCUUACAAUUUAUUCUCUGGUGCUUUGUUUAUUUGGUAUUAAAUGACUCAUGGAAUAUGGUUUCCACCUCUCCCCUAGGGAGAUUAUCCCAGCUGCUGAAACUUAGUAGCAGUUCCCUUUCUUUUGUCUCACUUUUAACAAGUUUUUCGUUCUAUUUUAGGUUGUGAGGUAAAAGCUACAAGGGAAACUCAUCUACCCAAGCCUGCUUUUAUAAGCAGCUAAGGCUGUGACAGAAACACAUAAACUCAAGGAAACAUGCAGUCAAAAAAGAAACGCAUCGUUUGUUUCACUGAUACUAUGCCACCUCAGUGGCACACUUUCAAGCUAAAUACUGCAGUAUCUACGUGACAAGAGAAUACUUUCCUGCUUUGAAAAUGUAGUGACAGCAUCUUCAUUUCCCAGCCGUGGUUUUGCAGUAUACUGUGUCACUUCAUAGCAUUCCACCUGGCUGUAAAGGAAUGGUGAUGACAAGGGGCUUUCCAAAGAAAAUUCUGUGCUGCUUGUUGUGCCCAUGGAGAAAGACGAAGGUGAACAAGGCUUCGUCGGUGAGAAAAUUAAAGGAGGAUAAAUAGAGAGGUAGAAGAAAUCCAGAGGGCAGAGCUGCAGGCCAGAGGCAGCCCAGCUUCUCACAGUGUGCAGUCUGACAUUCUUGACUUGUGCAUUACAUGUACCAAUGGACAGAAAGAAAGCCUUAAAAAUAAACCAGGAAGAAGGAUUGGUGAUUCUAGCUGUGAGUUGAAUGUCAGCCUUUGUGUUAAACUAAAUGCACAAGGAAUACAUAAUUCAGAAUUCCCCAGUGGUUGUCCUGUUUUCCUGUAGAUGAGAAGAGGAUGCAGCCAGCAGGUCUGAUUCCAGAUGAGAUAAGAUUUUGUUAUAACAAAAGUAAUGGUUAAUGAGCACGUUCUCAUUUAAGUGAGUUAUCCACUACCACACACACACACACAAAAAGGUUCUGGC